CGCGAAACUUCUGCAAUGCGCGAAAGCGUGACAGAGUCACCCCGGGUGCUUCCCGCUGAGGGAAGCUUUUCUCCAGUCUAAAAAGCUGGAGGAAUAAGGGGGGGGCAAGCCGGGUGUCAGCCGCCGCGGUAAUACCCGCUCCCCGAGUGGUGAGGGCGAUUAUUGGGCUUAAAGCGUCCGUAGCCGGCUCUACAAGUCUUCCGUAAAAUCCAAAGGCCUAACCUUUGGAUCGCGGAAGAUACUGUAGGGCUUGGAGGCGGGAGAGGUCGCGGGUACUUCCUGGGUAGGGGCGAAAUCCUCUGAUCCAGGAAGGACCACCAGUGGCGAAGGCGCGCGGCCAGAACGCGCUCGACGGUGAGGGACGAAAGCUGGGGGAGCGAACCGGAUUAGAUACCCGGGUAGUCCCAGCUGUAAACGAUGCGGACUAAGCGUCGGAGUGGGUACGGCCUACUCCGGUGCUGCAGGGAAACCAUUAAGUCCGCCGCCUGGGGAGUACGGCCGCAAGGCUGAAACUUAAAGGAAUUGGCGGGGGAGCACACAAGGGGUGAAUGCUGCGGCUUAAUUGGAGUCAACGCCGGGAACCUUACCAGGGGCGACAGCUGGAUGAAGGUCAGAUUGAAGGUCUUACCAGACUAGCUGAGAGGAGGUGCAUGGCCGUCUUCUCAGCUUGGGGGUAACCCUAACUGGGACGGUAAGCCAGCUCGUGCCGUGAGGUGUCCUGUUAAGUCAGGUAACGAGCGAGACCCCCAUCUUCUGUUGCUACUCCUGCCCAUCUGGGUAGGAAGCACUCAGAAGAGACUGCCACCGAUAAGGUGGAGGAAGGAGGGGGCAACGGCAGGUCAGUAUGCCCCGAAACCCCUGGGCCGCACGCGGCAGAUAAUGGUAGGGACAGAGGGUUCCGACCCCGAAAGGGGAAGGCAAUCCCUAAACCCUACCUUGGUUGGGAUCGAGGGCUGCAACUCGCCCUCGUGAACGUGGAAUCCCUAGUAACCGCGUGUCAUCAUCGCGCGGUGAAUAC
rnacentral:rRNA from 1 species